NACACGACUCUCGGCAACGGAUAUCUCGGCUCUCGCAUCGAUGAAGAACGUAGCGAAAUGCGAUACCUGGUGUGAAUUGCAGAAUCCCGCGAACCAUCGAGUCUUUGAACGCAAGUUGCGCCCGAGGCCAUCCGGUCGAGGGCACGCCUGCCUGGGCGUCACG
rnacentral:rRNA from 1 species